AAGAGACGUUGCCCUUCGGGGUAUACCUCCCACCCUUUGUUUAUUAUACCUUUGUUGCUUUGGCGGGCCCGUCCUCGGACCACCGGCUUCCGCUGGUCAGUGCCCGCCAGAGGACCUAAAACUCUGUUUGUUAAUAUUGUCUGAGUACUAUAUAAUAGUUA
rnacentral:misc_RNA from 1 species